GCCGAAGUGGUGGAAUUAGGUAGACACGCCAUCUUGAGGGGGUGGUGCCUGACCGGGCGUGGGGGUUCAAAUCCCCCCUUCGGCA
rnacentral:tRNA from 1 species